UACAGAGGGUGCAAGCGUUGUUCGGAAUUAUUGGGCGUAAAGGGCGCGUAGGCGGUGCGGUAAGUCUCUGGGGAAAUCUCCGGGCUCAACUCGGAGCCUGCUAGGGAAACUGCCGUGCUCGAGUGUGGGAGAGGUGAGUGGAAUUCCCGGUGUAGCGGUGAAAUGCGUAGAUAUCGGAAGGAACACCUGUGGCGAAAGCGGCUCACUGGACCAUUACUGACGCUGAUGCACGAAAGCUAGGGGAGCAAACAGG
rnacentral:rRNA from 1 species